rnacentral:rRNA from 1 species
UACGGAGGGUGCAAGCGUUAUCCGGAAUUACUGGGUUUAAAGGGUGCGUAGGCGGCUAGAUAAGUCAGGGGUGAAAGUCUGUCGCUUAACGAUAGAACUGCCUUUGAUACUGUAAAGCUUGAAAGGGGGUGAGGUCAGCGGAAUGUGGCAUGUAGCGGUGAAAUGCAUAGAUAUGUCAUAGAACACCGAUUGCGAAGGCAGCCGGCUAGGCUUACUUUGACGCUGAGGCACGAAAGCGUGGGUAGCGAACAGG